rnacentral:rRNA from 1 species
GAACGCUAGCGAUAGGCCUAACACAUGCAAGUCGAGGGCAGCACAUGAAGUAGCAAUACAGAUGGUGGCGACCGGCGCACGGGUGAGUGACACGUAUGCAACCUACCUUCAACAGGAGAAUAACCCGGCGAAAGUCGGACUAAUACUCCAUAAUACAGGGAUCCCGCAUGGGAAUAUUUGUUAAAGAUUUAUCGGUUGAAGAUGGGCAUGCGUUCCAUUAGCUAGUUGGUGAGGUAACGGCUCACCAAGGCAACGAUGGAUAGGGGAACUGAGAGGUUUAUCCCCCCACACUGGUACUGAGACACGGACCAGACUCCUACGGGAGGCAGCAGUGAGGAAUAUUGGUCAAUGGAGGCAACUCUGAACCAGCCACGUCGCCGUGAAGGAUGACGGCCCUACGGGCUGUAAACUUCUUUUGUAAGGGAAUAAAGUUUAGUACGUGUACUAUUUUGCAUGUACCUUACGAAUAAGGAUCGGCUAACUCCGUGCCAGCAGCUGC